rnacentral:rRNA from 1 species
CUACGGGAGGCAGCAGUGGGGAAUAUUGCACAAUGGGCGCAAGCCUGAUGCAGCCAUGCCGCGUGUAUGAAGAAGGCCUUCGGGUUGUAAAGUACUUUCAGUCGUGAGGAAGGUGGUGUUGUUAAUAGCAACAUCAUUUGACGUUAGCGACAGAAGAAGCACCGGCUAACUCCGUGCCAGCAGCCGCGGUAAUACGGAGGGUGCGAGCGUUAAUCGGAAUUACUGGGCGUAAAGCGCAUGCAGGUGGUUCGUUAAGUCAGAUGUGAAAGCCCGGGGCUCAACCUCGGAACUGCAUUUGAAACUGGCGGACUAGAGUACUGUAGAGGGGGGUAGAAUUUCAGGUGUAGCGGUGAAAUGCGUAGAGAUCUGAAGGAAUACCGGUGGCGAAGGCGGCCCCCUGGACAGAUACUGACACUCAGAUGCGAAAGCGUGGGGAGCAAACAGGAUUAGAUACCCCGGUAGUC